AGCCCAACACGGGGCUGGAACUCACGAACUGUGAUAUCAUGACCUGAGCCCAAGUCAGAUGCUUGACCUACUGAGCCAUCCAGGAUCCUAUCUUGAAGAGAAAUAGGACAAAUCACAAGCUCUGGCCAGGCUUGGCCUUUCCCUGGAGGUCUGGGUGUUCAUGCACUCCAAAGCUAAGGAGAGGACAGACAGGAAGUUUUCUACUACAUGGAAAGGAAUAAUUGUUAAAAGGAGAGAAAAAAACCAGUGUGGAAGCUGCAUGUUCAAGCUAUCAGUCAUUUUAAAGAGGACAAGGGCACAGAAGUCCAUUCAUUUUCAGAAAAUAAAAAGCAGAUUAUGCUUGUUUUUCAAAUCACAGUUUGAAACUGACCCUAGUCUAAGCUCUAAUGAUAAUAAUCCUAAGAUCAUAAAUAAUACAUCAAAAAU